ACCUCACCAUGUAAUAAUGAUUACUGCUAAGUCUAUAAAUAACAGAUCUAAGUAUCGAAAUAAGAACAACACCAUUUCUCUCUAAAGAUUUUCCCAAAAACAAAUAUUUAAGUUUUUUUUCAAAAUCUGUAGGCACAAUCCUGGGGGUAUUCUGUUCGCUUGUUCUCCAAGUCUAAGAAGAACAAGAUUAAGAAGAUGAAGGCAGAGGCAAAAAGAGUUGAACAAGCCAACUUGAAGAAGUAAAAUGUCGAAGAAGAAAAGGCGGUUGAAGCUGUAAGGGAGAAAGAAAGAAGAGAUAAGAAGGCUGAGAAGAGAAUGGCAAAGGAAGAGAGAAAGACUAAAAAGGAAGCGAAGAAGAAGCAGGUUUAAAAAUGAGAAUUCUAGUUGUUGUGAC
rnacentral:lncRNA from 1 species